rnacentral:rRNA from 1 species
AACGUUGGCCCGUUAUCCGGGUUGCGGACAGUGUCUGGUGGGUAGUUUGACUGGGGCGGUCUCCUCCUAAAGAGUAACGGAGGAGCACGAAGGUUGGCUAAUCCUGGUCGGACAUCAGGAGGUUAGUGCAAUGGCAUAAGCCAGCUUGACUGCGAGCGUGACGGCGCGAGCAGGUGCGAAAGCAGGUCAUAGUGAUCCGGUGGUUCUGAAUGGAAGGGCCAUCGCUCAACGGAUAAAAGGUACUCCGGGGAUAACAGGCUGAUACCGCCCAAGAGUUCAUAUCGACGGCGGUGUUUGGCACCUCGAUGUCGGCUCAUCACAUCCUGGGGCUGAAGUAGGUCCCAAGGGUAUGGCUGUUCGCCAUUUAAAGUGGUACGCGAGCUGGGUUUAGAACGUCGUGAGACAGUUCGGUCCCUAUCUGCCGUGGGCGCUGGAGAACUGAGGGGGGCUGCUCCUAGUACGAGAGGACCGGAGUGGACGCAUCACUGGUGUUCGGGUUGUCAUGCCAAUGGCACUGCCCGGUAGCUAAAUGCGGAAGAGAUAAGUGCUGAAAGCAUCUAAGCACGAAACUUGCCCCGAGAUGAGUUCUCCCUGACUCCCUGAGAGUCCUGAAGGAACGUUGAAGACGACGACGUUGAUAGGCCGGGUGUGUAAGCGCAGCGAUGCGUUGAGCUAACCGGUACUAAUGAACCGUGAGG